rnacentral:rRNA from 1 species
GAUGAACGCUGGCGGCGUUCCUAAUACAUGCAAGUCGAGCGAACAGACGAGGAGCUUGCUCCUCUGACGUUAGCGGCGGACGGGUGAGGAACACGUGGAUAACCUACCUAUAAGACUGGGAUAACUUCGGGAAACCGGAGCUAAUACCGGAUAACAUGUUGAACCGCAUGGUUCAACAGUGAAAGACGGGGUGUCUGUCACAUAUAGAUGGAUCCGCGUCGCAUUAGCUAGUUGGUAAGGUAACGGCUUACCAAGGUAACGAUGCGUAGCCGACCUGAGAGACUGUCCGCACAGACUGGAAGUGAGAGACGGUCGAGACGCGUACGGGAGGCGGCAGCCGGGACGCUGCCGCAAUGCGCGGAAGUGUGACGGAGAGCUGCUGCGCCCGUGAAGAGCGUCCCCGGUUCCUAAUGCUGGGUUCUGAGGGACUAACCGAGGUGUAAGUGGCUCUGCAGGUCUUGACGGUCCUUAACCAGAAAGCCCUGGCUACCUACGUG